rnacentral:lncRNA from 10 species
AAUCUGGGGCUGAGUACAAGCAAAACAAGACCAAAGGAAGCUACCUGAGCAGGUAUUCCAGAUACUCAUGUCAUACACCAAGGUUGUACCAGUGCCCCUUUCUCUGUGACACAUCCAUCCACUGGAAACUUUCGUACAACUAGCUGAAAGAAGAGAAACAUCCUAUUUCAUGUCACUGGAGCCCUAAUGAUCGCAGCCAUUUCAGGAAAUGCCAUCAAUUACAGUGAGGAGCUCAUUCAGAAGUGAAAGAUGAGUUCCAUUCUCUGUUACUUAGAGGUCAGUGAUCAUUCCCCAACCUCUUCAUAGUGAACAAAUAGUACAGUAA